GGAAGAGUGCCCGAGAACAGGGACUACUUUGAUAGAGUAGGUACAGAGAUCGUCAACCCUCUCUCUUCCCCAUCA
rnacentral:tRNA from 1 species